rnacentral:lncRNA from 1 species
AUCAGCGUUGCGGCUCGAGGCAAAGCUGGUCCUGUGCCUGCUGUCCAUUGCCGCUAAGGCCUGCUGCUGCCAUUCAGGCGUGUCUCUCUCUCUCUCUCUCUUUCAUGCCGCUCUCUCCACCCCAUCUUGGGACGGCCAGCUCUAAGAAUUCCUGCUACGACACUGAAUUCAACCAGGAGGUGAUGCCACACUCAAUCAGAAACUAUGCUACUGCUGAAGAGGUAUAUUGAGCCCUGCCUGGUUAACCUCCAGUGAGGUUAUUAGAGAAUUGGGAGAGGCUCAAAUCAGCAUCCUGCACCUAGUUAUCAAACCAUUGUGAAGUCUUGAUUCCUGGAUGGCCAGAAAACUUGUCAUUGGUCAAGAGCAACAUUAAGAUCUGCCUGUUACUCAUACUGAUGCUUCCUGCCCAGCAAGUUCAUCAGAGGGCGAGGAUGAAUUACGGUUGCCAUGAAUGUCCUUGUGAGGCAGUUGGGAAGCCUUGGCUGGAUUGUGAAGGAUAUUUGAAAAGUAUUUUAGAGUCCACCAGAUCAUCCAUGUGAGUGACCAUGCAGCAAAAGAAGGAGGGUCCUCUCAGUGAUUAAGGUAACAUAGUGAUUAAGGUAAGUAGGGAAAGAGAGGCUUACUUUGCCCUGAUUCUUGUCAGGGAGGCUCUUAGAGAUGCCAUUUCCAGAGCAUAAGUGACAGGCCAGCAUUUUCAAAGCUUGCAACUUAUUCUAUAAUAUAUCCUUCUUAAAACAAUUCAUGUAGAUUAUAUGCUCACCCAGUCUGGGAUCACUCCUGCAGAAGAUCAGAAGAACUGAAAUAUAGGUGACAUAAGCUCCUGCUUUUGUAAAUGUUUUGUUGAAACACAGUUGUGUUCAUCCAUUAUUGUCGAUGGCAGCUUUCAUGCUACAGCAGAGUUGAGUAGUUGGGAGAGAAACCAAAUGGACCAUAGAGUUUGAAAUAUUACUGUCUGGCCCUUCACAGAAAGUUUGCCAAUUCCUGGCAUAGGUUAAAUAAAUGUACUAUAUCCACAAAUCCUCCUCUCCCCAUUUUCCUUUCAAUGGGACUUGCAUUUACAGUUGAUCCUAGAAUGUAUGGAAUCUCAUAGUAAUCAGCUUGCUUCUGAAUUUCUUCCCACUCAAAUUAAGCUCACUCAGAAAGCACAUUCACAAAUUGGGCUACAUAUACAGAAGGAGCUAUGUUUUAUAUGCCUCACUGUAGUCAACUCAUUUAUCCUAUAUGUAUGGUUCCCCCAUUUUUUCCUUCUUUUCAGGGGUAACUUUUAAACUUGAGCCAUUCAUGAGUAUCCAAAAAGUUACAACUUAUGUUCUCUAAUUAAGACUUCAUCCUUAUUUUAGUAUACUUCCCCUCUCUGGCUUUUUUGCAUAUUUCUGCAGAUGUCUUGACCUUUCUGGGGAGUAAGCCCCCUUAGAAGAUUAAUUUUCUGUAGUUCUCUAUUGAGGAAAUACAUGACAUUUAGCUUUUUAAUAAUUUGAUGCCAUUCAUUGAGUACCUACUGUGUGCUUUAUGUACCCUGUCUCGUUGAAUUUUUACAAAAAACUGAAAGAGUUAGUUUUGUGUUAUUACUACCUCCAUCUCAAAGAUGAGUCUUGGAAAGCUUAAGUAACUUUAGGUCACAUUGUAAUCAGUGGCAGAACUGGGACUUAAGAACAUAAUUCAUGACUGCAUUUUCUUUUCUUUCUUUCUCUUUCUUUCUCUCUCUCUCUUUUUUUUUUUUUUUUAAAGAGAUAGCAUCUCACUCACUAUGUUGCCCAGACUGGUCUUGAACUCUUGGGCUCAAGCAAUUCUUCCACCUCCGCCUCCCAAAGUGUUAGGAUUAUAGGCAUGAGCCCUCAUGCCUGCCCCUUGCAUUUUCUAUUUAAGUGAUCUUGAAGUUUUUUUUUUUCUUUUUUAAAUCUCGGAAUUUGGCCUUUAGUAAGCAUAGAAUAGCAAAGUGUAAUACCUGAGCUGGGGGAAAAAGUCCUUGAAUUCUUUAGGAAAGACUUAAUUGGUGGGUACAAAGUGAAAUGCUCACUGGAAUCAGGAAUCAGAAACCAGUUCUGAUCACCUAUCCCUACAUAUCCUUCUUCACUCUGCCCUGGCAUAUCAUGGUUGAUGUACAUAGCAAUGAUCAUCCCUUCUGUAAUCCCACUUGACAGUUUAGAAGUGGAUUGAUAAUACUCUUCUGGCUUAAAACCCUUCUUCUCUGGGCAGGUGUGGUGGCUCCUACAUUAUCCCAGCACCUUGGGAGGCCGAGAUGGGAGGAUUGUGUGAGCCCAGGAGUUUGAGACCAGCCUGGGUAACAUAGCAAGACCCUGUCUCCACAAAAAAAUAAAAAAUUAACUGGGCACGGUGGUGCUCACGCCUGUAAUCCCAGCACCUGGGGAGGCCGAGGCGGGUGGAUCACGAGGUCAAGAGAUCGAGACCAUCCUGGCCAACAUGGUGAAACCCCGUCUGUACUAAAAAUACAAAAAUUAGCCAGGCGUGAUAGCAGGCGCCUGUAGUUCCAGCUAUGGGAGGCUGAGGCAGGAGAAUCAGAUGAACCUGGGAGACGGAGGUUGCAGUGAGCUGAGAUCACGCCACUGCACUCCAGCCUGGUGACAGAGUGACACUCCGUCUCAAAAAAAAAAAGAAACGAUCACAUCCAGAUGUCCUGUUACUGGAAGGGCACCAUAGUUUAUCCUGCACCUAACACUAAUACACCUACUCUGGGAAUUCUUCUACCUACAACUAUUUAUUUAUCUGAUCCCAUCUGGUAUUAAAGUUCUAAAAGUUAACAGAAUUCUUAAAGGUUCCCAAUGCCUCCCAGAAACCCCAUCAUCUCAAAAUCACUAGCUAUUAAAAGAAGCAAAAAAAAAAAAAAAAAAAGGUGGCUCCUGACCUAGUCUCUUUGAGUAUGAAGACCUAUUUACUAUGUAAAGCUGUCACCUGCCUUGAAAAGAUUAAGACAGCAAGAAAGUUCUUAGAAAGUGGGUAUGUGGCUGGCCUCAGAUAAGGAUAAAUUGCUGAGAAGAAGGAGUUGGGUUUUUUUUGUGUUUUUUUGUUUCUUGUUUUUGAGACAGGGUCUUGCUCUAUCUCCCAGGCUGGAGUGCAAUGGUGCGAUCACAGCUCACUGCAGCCUCAACCUCCCAGACUCAAAUAAUCCUCCCUCCUCAGCCUCCCAAGUAGCUAGGACUACAGGAUGCACCACCGUGCCCAUUGUUUCUAUAUCAGGGUCUUAUAAUAUGGCAGACACAAUGGCCUCCCACAGAGAAAUGAGCCAUAAAAGGACCCUGUAAAAGCAAGGAUGGCUCAUUGUUUUAAGACAGCCAAAUGUAUGGCACUUGGAGAAUUUCAAAGAGUAGAAGGCCUUCUUGAUUGCACUCCCCUUUAACAGCCUUGCCUCUUAUGGGGCUAUGUGGAUCGUUGAAAUGGUUCACAAGUAAAGUGAAAAAUGGUUAUGCGUAGUGUGUCAGCCCCACCCUAAGCUCCCAGAGCCUCCAUUCUGAGUACAAAGGUCAGUUUUCUUCUCGGGACAGGCCAAGGAUGAUGGGGUUUUAAUUUCUCUCCUGAUCCAUGGCAAAGCAUUCCUAAACUAGGCACUGGAAGUCUUGGUAACUGGAAAGAGACAUUCACCAAGAUGAGGAAGGCCAAAACCAAGUGCCUUAUAUAGUCCCUAGAAAGCAUUUCAUUUUAUGGAACAAUCUUUGGUCUCUCUUUUUUUUUUUUUUUUUGUGAGACAGUGACUCAGGCUGGAGUACAGUGAUUAGGUCACUGCUCAUUGCAGCCUCAACUUCCCGUGCUCAGGUGAUCCUCUCACCUCAACUUCCCGAGUAGUUGGGACUGCAAGCAAGCGCCACCAUGCCCAGCUAAUUUUUUGUAUUUUUUUGUAGAGACGGGGUUUUCCCAUGUUGCCCAGGCUGGUCUCAAACUUCUGGACUCAAGCAAUCCACCUGCCUUCGCCUCCCAAAGUGCUGGGAUUACAGGUGUAAGCUACCAUGCCCAGCUCUGGUCUCCUUUCUUAAUCCUGUUGAAUAAGGAAGAUUUUUUUUAUCUGAACCCUCCUCUUACUCUUCUUUCUGUUCUCCUUCCAUGAUCACUUUGUCCAUCUUCCUCUUUGUCAUAGGCAUGUCCUAUUUCUAAUUCCCUUUCUCUUUUCUUUGGUAGGCUAGCCUUCGAGACUGCAUUACCCUCCCCAACUUAAAAUCUUUUGAUAACCCAGGCAGCUGGGUUAUCCCCAAUUUAAAGUCUUUUUGUUGUAGCUGUAUGGCAUUUAUCUAGAGCAUGGGGUACACACAGUAGGUUUCUCUCCUCUCUUUUUUAACAUAUUUAUUAUGUUUAUGCAUGUAAAGAGUUUGUUGUUGGCCAGGCCUGAUGGCUCACGCCUCUAAUCCCAGCACUUUGGGAGGCUGAGGCGGGAGGUCAGGAGUUCGAGAGCAGCCUGGCCAACGUGAUGAAACCCUGUCUCUACUAAAAAUACAAAAAUUAGUGGAACAGGGUGGCUCAUGCCUGUAAUUGCAGCUACUCAGGAGGCUGAAGUAGGAGAAUCACUUGAGCCUGGGAGCUGAGAUCGUGCCAUUACACUCCAGUCUGGGUGACAGAGGGAAACUCUGUUUCAAAAUCAACAACAACAAAAAAAAGUUUAAAAAUUGGAAACCACCAAAAGGUAGUAUUAAAAGGGAAAUAAAAAUUACUCAUAAUCCCAGAACGCAGUCAUAUGCUAUUUUUAGUCUUAUUUUAUUCAGCCAUUUUUCUCUUUACACAAACUUUUUUUUUUUUUUUUGAGAUGGAGUCUCACUCUGUUGCCUGAGCUGGAGUGCAGUGGUGCGAUCUCGGCUCACUGCAACCUCCGCCUCUUGGGUUCAAGCGAUUCUCCUGCCUCAGCCUCCUGAGUAGCUGGGACUACAGGCGACCGCCAUUACACUCAGCUAAUUUUUUGUAUUUUUAGUAGAGACGGGGUUUCACCAUGUUCACUGGGCUGGUCUCGAACUCCUGACCUCAUGAUUCGCCCACCUCGGCCUCCCAAAGUGGUGGGAUUACAAGCAUGAGCCACUGUGCCCUCCCUACAGGUUUUAAAAUUUAUUAUUAUCUAAAUAUUCAUUUUAAAUGUUAAUUUUAGUGUACUUCUUUGAUUAUUUUCUUUAGAGAAAUUUCUGAUUUCAGAACCAAGUUUAUUAGCAUUCACUGUAUACAUUAGCACCAUUAAAACUAGCUAGACCCAAGAAGCAGUAUUGAAUGGGUACCCCUUCUUUACUUUCCUCUGAUUCACUCUACUCUGGUGCUCACAGCUAAGUAAGUAUGUACAGCAAUGGCCUGUCAUUUGGUCGAUUAUCUUUUGUGCUCUGAAAUGUCUUUGUUUUUUCAUCUGCUCUCAAUACCUCUGUGCUCUGAUCCUUUGUAUAUAAGGGUAACCAUAUUUGUUCUUUCCUGUGAAAUAAUAAUUCUUUUCCUUCCAUUCAGAGUAGCUGCCUGACUCAUACAAUGAAUAAAGUCACAUAGACUCAAAGAGUGGAGAUGGAGGUCGGAUGUGGUGGCUCGUGCCUGUAAUCCCAACACUUUGAGAGGCUGAGGUGGGAGGAUCGCUUGAGCUUGAGCACAGGAGUUUGAGAUCAGUCUGGGCAACGUAGUGAGAUCUCAUCUCUGCCAAAAAAUAAAAAUUAGCUGGGUGUGGUGGUGCAUGGCUGUAGUCUCAUGUAGUCCCAGCUACUUGGGAGGCUGAGGUGGGGGGUCACACAUACUUUUUGUUGUUACUGCUUCAUCAUUGGUUCUGAUCACUCAGUGUUCUUUCCCUUACACCAGAUCAUAAUACAGUAUUCUGACUAGGCAACUUAGCUCAGUUUAUUACGAAUAGCCUUAAUUAAUUUGGUAAAUUACUAUGAAUGAACAUUUCAUUCAUUCUGCUAGGUCUAGGUUUUGCCAGCUGUUCCAUUAAGGGACACUAUGGCACGGGUUGGCAAACUUUUUCUGUAAAGGGCUAGGUAGUCUCUCUAUUCAACUCUGCUGUUGUAGCAUGAAAACAUCCAUAGACAAUAUGGAUACAAAUGAGCAUGAUUAUGUUCUGAUAAAACCUGAUUUACAAAAACAGGUAGUAGGUUGGAUUUGGCCCAGGGGCCAUAGCAUGCUGACCCCUGCUCUACAGUAUACAUACACAAAGACUUUCAAACAAAGAUGUAUACAAUAAAACAACCAUUCAGAGUUAUUUGAUUCACAGUGUGUAUAAUAUAAUAAAAAUAAUACAGCUGUAUUUGAGUCAGCACUGAAAAGUCUCUUGUGAUCUGUGUCUUACGUGCAUGAAUUGCAGAAUAUUCAUACGAAUACCAUGAAUAUUCUUCACGGGCCAUGUUAUUACCAUCCCUUAGAGGAAUCUCUUCCUUGUCGUGGGUCUUUCUUUGUAUGGCUUAGAAGUGAUGUUGUCUUUAUAUUGUGUUAUUUGUUCUUAACUUUACAUUAUCAGCUCUGGUGUGCUUACCUUUUUCACCAACGUGUCUUCUACCCUACUUACCUCAUAAGUGAAUCUAAUACAGAGGUUAUUUUGGAUAUAAUCAUUAUCUUAACAGGCAAGAUAGUGGGCUGUGCUAUUUCAAACCCUAAAUUUGGCUUUCAGGAUUAUGAAGUAUUAAUUCUUCCACUGAUAUCUCAAAAGGUGAUCUGGACAAAGGAACAGGUAUCUCAGGUAAGCAAUUGUUGAAUAUGAAAGUAAAUAUUCUUCUUUGAUCGUUUGUUGUAUUUGUUAUGUUUAAUAGCUUUCCUAAUAAUGAACCAACUUUGCAUUUCUGGAAGAAGAUUCGUACUUUUUUGAGACGGAGUCUUCUUUUUUUUUUUUUGAGAUGUAGUCUCGCUCUGUCGCCCAGGCUGGAGUGUAGUGGUGCAAUCUCAGGUCACUGCAGCCUCUGCCUCCUGGGUUCAAGCAAUUCUCCAGCCUCAGCCUCCCGAGUGGCUGGGAUUACAGGUGUGCAUCGCCAUGCCCAGCUAAUUUUUUGUAUUUUUUUUAGUAGAGACGGGGUUUCACCAUGCUGGCCAGGCUAGUCUCGAACUCCUGACCUCGUGAUCUGCCCACCUCAGCCUCCCAAAGUGUUGGGAUUACAGGCAUGAGCCACCACGCCCGGCCAGAUUCAUAGUUUUCAAGAAUUUUGAAUUAUAUUUGCUAAAUUUGAUAUUUCAAAUUUUAUUUUCUAUUUUAUUUAUUAUUUUUUUCCUUUAUUUAUUUAUUUUUUUUGAGACAGGGUCUCACUCUGUUGUCCAGGCUGGAGUGUGGUGGUGCUAUCAUGGCUCACUGCAGCCUUGACCUCCCAGGCUCAAGGGAUCCUCCUACCUCUCAGCCUCCUGAGUAGCUGGGACCAUAGGUGUGCACCACCACACCCAGAUAAUUUUUGUAUUUUUCGUAGAGACGGGGUUUCUCCAUGUUGCCUAGGCUGUUCUCAAACUCCUGGGCUCAAGCUAUUUGCCCACCUUAGCCUUCCAAAGUGUUGGGAUUACAGGGUGGGCUACCAUGCCCGGCCUUUUUCUGUGUUCAAAAGUGAGUUGUUUUGCGGGGGAUGGCAGUCUUUUUCAAUUGUUGAUGUUAGGGUCAUUAAUGAAAUCUUUUGUUGCCUAUUGUUUUAAACUGAACCAAUCUCAAAUAUAUCCCAUGCCAUUAAAUAUACUUUAAUAACAUCUUUUAAAAAUUGGCACAUAAUACACCACUGCAUGAAUGUAAAAAUUUAACUUGUAUCUGAUAUUUGGAACCUUGUUUUAAUUACUGCUCUUUUAAUUGUGUGUAAAUAGUGCUACAGUGAAUAACUCUAUAGAUAAAUUUUUGUACAUAUGUGUGUUUUAUUUCCUGAGGUUGGAUAAAAUAUAUGGUCCUUCUAUUAGUGUAUAAGAAUGCCCGUUUUUUUUUUUUAACUUUUUCACCAGUACACUAUGUUAAGGUUUCAGAAGAAUUUGCCAAUUGUAAAGGUAAAAAAUGGCCUUUGAUAUUUUAAUUUGUAUUUCUUUGAUUCCUAACAAGAUAGAACAGAUAAAAAUCUUGGGUCUUAUUUUUGAGUUUAUUUUUCACACUUAGUUUUAGUCUAUCAUAUGUUGCAGAUAUUUCCCCCAGUUUGGCCUAUAAAUUAUUAAUUUGUAUGUAGCUCAAAUAUCUUUUUCUUUAUGGUUUAUUCUCCACUUGCAUUUUAUAAUAGGAAGAUAAAUAUAUUUUUUAUAGUUCAUAAUUCCUUUAUACUUUUUAUUAUUUUUUUAAAUACAAAUCUUUCCCAUUGGGAACCUUUUUGGUGUGUGGUAUGUAACUGAUUUUUCUAAAUGUUCAGCACAUUCAGGGUUUGGGGGGUUGUAGUAAGGGUACUUGUGGAGCUCUCAACAGCAGGACUUUAAAAAUCUUUUCUCCAGUGCUCUGCUUUUAACAUGACUUAAAUAUUCUCUCAGCCUGUUUCAGUUUUCCUGCCAUUGGCUUAUGCUAUCUUCUAUGAGGGGAGUUAGCAAACUUUUUCUAUAAAAAGCCCAGUGGUAAAUAUUUUAGGUUUUGUGGGCCAUAUGGUUUCUGCUCUUGUAGCAUGAAAGCAGUCAUAGACAAUACAUAAAUGAGUGAGUAUGGCUGUGUUCCAACAAAACUAGUUACAGAAAAAGGUAGUGGGCUGGAUUUGGUUUAUUGGCGGUAGUUUGCCAAUACCUGCUUUAUGACACUGUACUCUUACAACUUCUGCUCACCUAGUUUCUGCUUCGUCAUAGUGGGCUUUCUCAUAGUUAUGCCUCUGAUUUUCCCUUGUAACUUCUUAGAAUACCUUCUUCACCUCUCAUCUUUGCUACUGAUUACCUGUUUCCAUAUUUCACAAUUUUAAGUUUCCGAGAGCACAGGCGAUAGCUAAAUUAAGAUGCUUUGCAUGUUACCACUAUUAUGUACUUUGCUUGGCUGUCUACCCUGUUGCUUCAAUAUAACCAAUUCCAAAUAGCUGCAUUCCUUUUGAGGGUCUCUUCCUUGCAAUCCAGAGUUCAUUGCAAGAAAUGGGGUGAUUUGGAUCAUUUUAAGGAAGUUUAUGGAAUUCAACUCUAGUGUGGUAUCAUUAAUGUAAUUAAGCUCUUCUCUCCUUAUGUGUAUCAUGUUGGUCCUACUACAGUUUGGUUUCCUCAUACUCUGUCUUCCUCUAACCUCCUGGUUACUGAAUACUUAGAUUUUUUUUCUCAUUCAUAACUUGAGCUUUUGCAACUACUAUAGGUGUGACCUUCCUUCUACAUUAUCUUUCUCUCUACAGACUAUCGACUUUAGCUCUUGCUACUCUCCAUGUUGCCAAGUUGUCAUUAAACUGAGAAUCUGAUUCCCUGUGGGUUAAGUUUCCUGAGACCGCAGGGAUAGUAGUUGCUAUUUGGCAGGUCUAGGACAUUUCCCCCUACUGAUUACUAUGUGCAAAUGUAUCUCUUUCCCUAUUUAUGAUGCAAAAUUGCUUUAGCCUAACACAAUCCAGCUACUAUAAGUGUAUCCAGAAUCAAGCUCUAAAACUAGAAUGCAACCCAGUCAUGUAGCAUCCAGAAGUACCUGAACCAUCUUUGGAACUUGACAGUUUCACAGUUAACUCUGCAACCUUACUCUCCUUAUAUCCUGAUGCUAUUUUAUAUGCCUGUUAGGUUGUAUCAGAUCUACAUUCUGAUCUAUAGUUUGGAGAUUAUAAUUUUCUAAGCAACCCUUUGUGAGGUCACAGAUACUUUUUGUUUGUUACUGGUUAUAGGC